rnacentral:tRNA from 1 species
GCCAGUGUGGCUCAGUGGGUGAGCGUCGGCUCAUGCAUCGAAGGGUCUCGGGUUCGAUUCCCGGUCAAGGGCA